rnacentral:rRNA from 1 species
AACGAACGCUGGCGGCAUGCCUAACACAUGCAAGUCGAACGAGACCCUCGGGUCUAGUGGCGCACGGGUGCGUCACGCGUGGGAACCUGCCCUUAGGUUCGGAAUAACUCCCCGAAAGGGGUGCUAAUACCGGAUAAUGUCUUCGGACCAAAGAUUUAUCGCCUUUGGAUGGGCCCGCGUUGGAUUAGCUAGUUGGUAGGGUAACAGCCUACCAAGGCGACGAUCCGUAGCUGGGAGGGGAGGAGGAUCAGCCACACUGGGGAUGAGACACAGCCCAGACUCGUACGGAAGGGAGGAGUGGGGAAUAUAGGAGGAGGGGGGAAAGCGUGAUCCAGCAAUGCCGGGUAAGUGAUGAAGGCCGUAGGGAAGUAAAGCUGUUUUAGCCGGGAUGAUAAUGACGGUACCGGGAGAAUAAGCUCCGGCUAACUACGUG